UACGAAGGGGGCUAGCGUUGCUCGGAAUUACUGGGCGUAAAGCGCACGUAGGCGGUCUUUUUAAGUCGGGGGUGAAAUCCUGGAGCUCAACUCCAGAACUGCCCUUCGAUACUGGAAGACUUGAGUCCGGGAGAGGUGAGUGGAACUGCGAGUGUAGAGGUGAAAUUCGUAGAUAUUCGCAAGAACACCAGUGGCGAAGGCGGCUCACUGGCCCGGUACUGACGCUGAGGUGCGAAAGCGUGGGGAGCAAACAGGG
rnacentral:rRNA from 1 species